rnacentral:rRNA from 2 species
GAUUAAGUAAAAGUCGUAACAAGGUUUCCGUAG